rnacentral:tRNA from 1 species
AUAGCCGGAGCCGCCGGUGAGCACGGUGCCGCCGAUGACGACCGCGGCGAUGACGUCGAGUUCCAUCCCGACGGCGAUC